CCUUGCCAUAUUUUCAUGCUACCAUGAUGUUCUAUUCCACCAUGAGACCACAAUCAAUGGUGAUAAGGACUAAGGACUAAAAGCAGAAGCCAAUGUGGAGUGGUGUUGAUCUGAUUGCAUAAAGAACAGGUUGCCCUUAGGACUGUCCAUUCCAGACAUGCUCAUUAGCAGGAAAACAGUGCCAGACAAGUUACAGAGAAUGGUCAGAAGCAGUGGCCAGAAGCUGAAGUUCUGAAGGAAUAUGGAAUUGUAAAGAAGGCGAGAGGUGAUGGAGAGAAGAUUCGAAGGAAAGGGGCCUCGAGGAGCAGAGACAACAGAUGUGAACUGCAAUGUGAUCACUCUUACAUGUACAGCAGGAGUCAGAUGCUCAGGAAAGCAAACCGUGGCUCCAGGCAUCUGAAGAUUUCAGUACAUCACCUUAGGAAGAGCAGCCAUGGUCAGGAAGGCUGCCUGAGGGCUGCAGACACAACAGGGCAACCUCCAGAAAAGUAGCAAGG